rnacentral:rRNA from 1 species
UACGUAGGGUGCAAGCGUUGUCCGGAAUUAUUGGGCGUAAAGAGCUCGUAGGCGGUUUGUCGCGUCUGCUGUGAAAACUCAGGGCUUAACCCUGAGCCUGCAGUGGGUACGGGCAGACUGGAGGUAUGCAGGGGAGAACGGAAUUCCUGGUGUAGCGGUGAAAUGCGCAGAUAUCAGGAGGAACACCGGUGGCGAAGGCGGUUCUCUGGGCAUGUCCUGACGCUGAGGAGCGAAAGUGUGGGGAGCGAACAGG